UUGCCCGUGCCCAGUCUUGGGCACCCAUCGGGCACCUUUCGGUUACCCGGAGCGGGCAGGGGGUCACUUGCGGUCACCUAAAAAAUUAAAACUAAGGGUGAUUUUGCAUUUCAGGCAUGAUCCUGAAUCAUGAUUCAUUAAAUUUUUGUCUAAAUUUGGCUUGGAUCCCUGAAAUUGCCAGUGCCCAGUUUUGGGCACCCAUCGGGCACCUUUCGGAUACUCGGUGCGGGCCGGCGGUUAACUAUGGUCACUUUGCGGUCACCGAAAAAAAAUUAAACUAAGGGCGGUUUUGCAUUUCAGGCAUGACCCUGAACCUGGCUUGGUUGGAAUUUUUAAUUUUUUGCUGGGAUCACCUAAAAUUGCCAGUGCCCAGUCGUGGGCAACCAUCGGGCAGCUUUUUCGGGUAACUCGGAUCGGAUAACUGCAUGCGGUGUGACCGGUUCAUUAAUUAAAAUUUUGGGCACAGAAAAAAUAUUGUUUUGGUUAUUGUAGGAUUGAAAAAUAAAUUUUUUAUGCAUUUUAAUAUGAUUGCUAAAAAGGGGCAACUUUUGGUUACCCAAAGGUUAACCGAUGCGCGGGCACCAUUUUACUUUACUCGGUUUUACCCUCAAAAUUUGUCAAAUUUUCGUCACCGCAGGUUUUCACUUAUUUUGGAAAAUAUUUUUGUAAAAGUAGUUAAAGUACACAAAUAAAUAAAAAAAACUUUGAUAACCAAAAUGGGUUAACCAAUGGGCAACCAAAGAGCAACCUAAAAUAGCCACCGUAAAUUCUUGAGUUCGUGUUUCGUAAAAAUUAUUUUUUUUUAAAUUUAUUUGGUUAUAACACUAAUUAGCAUUUCAAACUCUUUAAAUUUACUCGUAUUAAGCACUUAUUUUAGCUCAGCAUUAUCGCGCGCGCGUUUCUUUGUUACACUCGGCCGCGCGUGUGGCGCCACUGUCGGCAGCAGCACCAGCUGCUGCCGGCUGCCUCUGGCUCAGUGACUGUAAACAAGCAUGACGGUUGAGACGCGCUGAUUGCAUCAUCAAUGUCAGCAGAGUAUUUCGCCGUGUUUUCGGUUGUAUUAUGGCAAAUCGAACACAUCAACGGGUUCUUGGACGGAUUGUGGAUGUUCCUGAUGUUCCGAAAGGCUUGCACCGCGUCCCGCCCUGAUGAUGUCCUCUGACUCCUCUGGUUGGGAAUAGCUGCCUGAACGCGAUGGCCAUCCGGAUGACAAGCCUGGACAAGUUAACAAAACUCCGGCCGCAGUAUCCGCAGGGUUUGUCUGCUGUUUUGUUUCCAUUUUCGGCUGUCAUGAAAUGGAUGGAACCAUGGACCCCAAAUAUGAAAAGCAACGCCCAUGUUUGACAGGAUAAGUGCUCGACGCUGGACGACACGAGUAGGCACAUUGAGUGGAUUUUUGGUUUACCGGUUUUCUUUGAUGUAUGUUUAAUGGCGUUUUUUGUGUUUAAAUCUUAAAUAUAAUUUUUAACAAGACUCAUAUGUUCUGCUCAAAUACGUAUGUAAACUCACUCGACAUAUGUUUGCAGUAACUGAAUCCAACUAUUGUUAUGAUUUAGUUUGUGUUUGCGGCAUAUUUUUAGUUUCGGUUUACAUUCUCAAGAUGAAAAUUUCUAUAAUUUCCCAGACAACUAAUUAUUGUGGACACAACUAAAUUUUUAAAAUUAUUAUUCUGAUAAUUAUCUCAUAAGUUUAAAAAUAACAAUAAUUGCAAAAGCCUUAAAUGUUUCAAGUCAAUAUCAACAGAUGGUGCCACUGGUAUACUUCUGAUUUUGAUUCCCUCUCAUUGAGUUUUUUUUUAUUAAAUGCUGCUGCUGUGCCUCUCUGGACUAAAAAUAAUUCAUUUUAAUGUGCUGAAAACCAAAAUAAGUCAUACCAAUCACCCUAGAAACAUCAGCACAUUGAAAACAAAUGUAAUUACACUUCGACGAUGAUUGGCUUAACUGUUUUUGGUUUCCAGCACAUCAAAUAUAAUUAUUUAAAGGGUUGAAUGUUGAAUGCACAGCAGCAGGACCGUGUCCUCUAUCUCAGUGGAAUCUUAUUUAUAUCAAAAGUAAAAGCUGUUGCCAUUUAAUGGCAGCCAAGGGGGAAUUCCUGAAUUCCCAACUGCUGGUAAACUCAUACAAUAUUUAGAAUCAGCCAACAUUAUCUGCUCUGUUACUGCAUCACCUCACAAAUCAAUGUCUUAUUAUGGUUGUAACUAUAAAGUUUUAUUAAUUUGUAAUUGUGCUGUUUUCUGCAGUCUAUUUUACGCGAUUUUUGGUGUUGAAAAAUUGUUGUUUACAUUUAUUAAUUUAUUUUUUAAUUGUAACUGAUUAUUCUGUUCUUCAAAGGUGGAAUGUAAUUUAACUGCAAUAGGUAUAACCUUCUAAUUUUCAUUGCCAAACCUAGUUUUCAAUUGUGAACUACUUUUAAUUCGCAGGUUAAAGGUCAUGUCACCUUUCUUUUUUAAAAAUUCAAUUUUUAGGGAUGAUAGCCCUCUUAGAUUUUUUGGGGCUCAGGGCUGAAAUGUAGUCCGUGAAAAUUUGCAUAAUUACACCAAAUUUUAGAGGCACAAAAAUAGCGUUUGCUGUAAUUAGAAAAUGUAAGUUUAAAUUCAGCUCGAUACUGCUCGAUCGAGUAUGGCCUUCGGUCAGCGAGUUCGCCUAUCAUUCGUUGAUAAUAUUUUAACCCAUUCCAUUUGAUUAGGCACAUCAAGAGGACCAAGGAUAGACAUAGUUAGGUCAAAAUCAACCUUAAGGGUCUGAACCUGACGAGACCCUGAGAUAAUAAUUUCGAAAAUUUCCAAUUUCAUCAAUCAUAGUGUCUUUUUAUAGGUUUUCGCUGCUUUACAGCUCAAUAAUACUGCCGAAUGACAAUCCUGAAACCGGUUCUUGAAAUAUUUGUGAAAGCCAUUAAUCUGGACGUGAUGUUAAAAAUUGUUUAAUUUUGAAAUCGGCAGUUUUGACUUUAAUAUUUUAUCUGUAGAGUGGUGAUAACCGACGGCAAGACACCAAGUUUGAUGAAAUUUGAUAUUUUUAACAAUUUUAUCUCAGGGCCACGUCAGGUACCGACCCUGAAGGUCGGUAUCGACCUCACUAUGUCUACCCUGGGCUCUCUUGAUGUGUCUAACAAAAUGGAGUGGGUUAAAAUAUUAUCGACGAAUGAUCGGCGAACUCACUGACUAAAGGCCGUGCUUGAUCGAGCGGCCUCGAGCUGGUUUUUAAUUUUUAAAUUCAAAUUGCAGUAAAACUAUUGUUGCACCUUUAAAAGUUGGUGAGCUUGUGCAGAGUUUAAAUUGCAACAUUUCAGCCCUGAUCCCCAAAAAACCUAAGGGUUCAUUCCUUAAUUGUGAAUUUGCGUAUAAAGGUCGUGAAAGGUGACCUUGACCUUUGACCUGCAAAAUUUUUGUAAAUUGAUUAGAUUUUUAUGGUCGAAAACUAGUUUAGACAGUGAAAAUUUCAAGGUUAUAACUAAACUCAGUAAAAAGUUACAGUUCACCUUUCAUUCACACAAUUCGAUUUUUGGGGAUUUUUUAAAAUAGGGAUCUUCAAAUUUGAUGUAUAAAAUGUAUUAUUUAAUUGUACUUUAAUUGUUGUAUGAAUAUCAUCCAAUAAAAGUGCUGCCCAUCUAGCUGCCAACUGAAGGUAACCGCAGGCGGGCACCCAAUGGUUACCUUUUGGCUACCUCUUACCUAGGGCUGUCAUUUUGCGCUACAAAUUUCACUUUUUUAAUGAACAGAGUCAAUCGACCUGCCACCUGACAGCCUUAGAUAAAAGGUAGCCAAAAGGUAACCAUUGGCUGCCCGCUGGUGGUAACCUCAGCCGGGUACCCGAUGGUUAGCUUUUGGUCAACGAAUAUUCUCGGCCUCUUAUUUAUUACGCUCCCUGAAUUCAGUUAUACUUAAAGGUACAAAUUAAGAGUCUCUCUGAAAGGUCAUUUUAAGGGUGCCCAUUUGGUGACCGAAUUCUGGGCAUGACCGCUCGCGGGUGCCCGAAGGGUUGGACAUGCGGUAUAACCAAUGGGUGCCCAUCUGGGUGCCCACGGGGGGUAGCCGGCUGACCGAACGCGGGCACCCAAUGGGCACCUUUUGGUUGACUUUUUUC